CAAUAGCGUAUAUUAAAGUUGUUGCAGUUAAAAAGCUCGUAGUUGGAUUUCUGGUUGAAGCGACCGGUCGGGCGUUGAUUCGUCUGCACUGGAGUCGGUUUUGGCCAUCCUCUAGGAAAGUGCGUCUGGUAUUAAGUUAUCGGGCGUAUGAUCCUGGUCUUUUACUGUGAAAAAAUUAGAGUGUUUAAAGCAGGCCUUCGCCUUGAAUACAUUAGCAUGGAAUAAUAAGAUAGGACUUUGGUCUAUUUUGUUGGUUUGCAGACCGAAGUAAUGAUUAAUAGGGAUAGUUGGGGGUAUUUAUAUUCCGAUGUCAGAGGUGAAAUUCUUAGAUUUUCGGAAGAUAAACUUAUGCGAAAGCAUUCGGCAAGGAUGUUUUCAUUGA
rnacentral:rRNA from 1 species